AUAACGAUCGGCUAAAUGCUAACGGAGGCGAUCGUUAACCGAGCUUCGGUUUAUUUUGAAGCCAAAAAAAAAUACACCGACAAGAAGGAGGACUCUUGACACCAGCCGGGACCAUGUAUAAAGAGGACGAGCGGUGUUACACGUCGCGCGUUCGCACUCACAAAUGCAGGUUCCGGGGCGCAGCAUCUUCCUACACAUUCAAGCUGCCCUCCGGUAAGCACAAAAGCAGCAGACCAGAGGCUGGCAGCGGGAAAUGGACAACACACCGACGGCCCCGGACUACCGACAAUUAUUCCGUUUUGGCCAAGCACGCAGCGACUGAAUAGGUUUAUUUCGAAACCGGUAAAGGAGCGGGAAAAGUGGCACAAGGUUGCGGUAGAUAAUGUUCACUCACUUACCUCGGUCUCUCCCGAAGCCAUGGUGCCUGGACCUAAACCCCGCCCAUACACGAUGACGUCACCAAGAUCGAUUUUUUUUUUCUCAACAGGCCUGUCAUGAAGGAAUCUUUAUGGCUUACAGGGACUGUUGAAUAUACAUUUUUUUGCAGCGUAUUGCAGGUCCUAGAUGUUCCUAAAUGUUAUGUAGUACUCAAGAUCAAUAAGGAUGGUAAUUGUCCGUCAUCGGAUUUUUCAUGGAUGCUGAUGAUUCCAAGUUCAUCGCUAUGUGCUCACUUACAGGUUCAUCCAGGAUCCCUCGUAGCUCCUAUUUAAUACAAUCAGAGUGUCAGGCGGCUGGAACAACAAUCCAGCUUGCACGCCAGUUCCAAGUCUGAUGGUUCGCUUUGGUGUCUCACAAAGUGAGUCCGGCAGUGUGGCAGCCCAAGAUAACACAGGUUCUCUCUCUGCAGUAGAGAUGUCCUCAUCUGAAAUUGCAGAAAAACACAUCUCCAUUUGCCAUCCUUUCGGCCAUUGUGUGUGACCACAGUUAUCUUUCCAUUCGGGUUGCUGGUCUGGUGGAAAUUCUCUGGUCUACAUAGCACGAUUUGUAGUUUUUCAUUUGCAAUGUAUCAUAGCUACAUGUAGAAAGUUUACAUUUAAAAACCGUGUGAAAAUCAGUUAAUUAUUGAGAAAGUUAUGAUGGAAUAAAUGUGCUGACACUUCAUUGAUCCUGUCACUAGAUAGAGAUGUUUACCGGUUUAAGAUGGCGCCCCGACGGCUCGUCAGCGCCAAAGUAGCGGUCGAUGUGGCAUCUCUAUAAGAUAUUUAUGUAUAAACAUGUAUUGAUCCAUAAUACAACACUGCACUGUUUUUUUCUUACAUGCCAGUUCGCAGUCUUUAAAUAGAAACUUCCUGUACCGAUGUCAGAAUAUGAAAAAACAUGUUUUUGUUAGGUUUUUUUAGUUUAUGGUCAUUGGUGAUUAACAAUUGUUUUUUGAUUUUCAAUUCCCAUGUUAUCAACUUGUGCUUUUGUCCAGGUUUUUCUGUUGAUUUUUGUUUUCUUGAUAUUUUCUUAAAGAUCAAAGUUUACCCUUUUUAUAUUACAUUUUGGUAACACUUUAGUAUGGGGAACAUAUUGUAAGUAACAAAGACUUAAUUUAGAGUUUUUGGACACUAGGGGAACAUAUAAGGGUUAGGGUUAGGGUUACUAAUAAGCAAUAAUUCUGAGGUUAUUGAGGGAAGACUCUUAGUUAACGGCUUACUGGUUGUAUAAUAAGGCCAUGCAGAAUAAGGCAUUAAUAAGUACUUAAUAAUGACUAAUUAAGAGCCAAUAUGUUACUAACUUGCAUGUUAAUAAGCAACUAAUUAAUGGAUGAAUUUGUUCCCCAUGGGCAGCACGGUGGAACAGGGGUUAUUGCAUGUGCCUCACAAUACGAAGGUCCUGAGUUCAAUCCCGGGCUCGGGGUCUUUCUAUGUGGAGUUUGCAUGUUCUCCCCGUGACUGCGUGGGUUCCCUCCGGGUACUCCGGCUUCCUCCCACCUCCAAAAACAUGCACCUGGGGAUAGGUUGAUUGGCAACACUAAAUUGGCCCUAGUGUGUGAAUGUGAGUGUUAAUGUUGUCUGUCUAUCUGUGUUGGCCCUGUGAUGAGGUGGCGACUUGUCCGGGGUGUACCCCGCCUUCCGCCCGAAUGCAGUUGAGAUAGGCUACAGCACCCCCCGCGACCCCGAAAGGGACAAGCGGUAGAAAAUGGAUGGAUGGAUAUGUUCCCCAUACUAAAGUGUUACCUAAAUUGUAUGUCUCUAACUUACAAACUGUAACAUAUGUGUCAGAUAUUGGAUGUUUGAAUAAAGUAUCUAUCUAUCUAUCUAUCCAUCUAUCAAACAUGGUGUUAAAACAUGUAAAUUAGGAAAUAAUUAAAUCAAUAAUUACAUUGUGAAGUAACUAAUUAAAUCGUGAAAUAGUGAAAUUAAUGAAUUAAUGACACAUUUAUUAGACUAAUUUGUUCCAAUUAUACUUCAUUAUUGAUACAUUUAAUUACUUAAACAUUUUUUUUAUUUAAUGUUGCCUUCUUUAGCCCUCCAUAUUAUUGACCCUCCAUAACAAGUCAUGUUGGGGGUUUUCGUUGUGUAUUACUUUUGUAGCAGUAUGUGGCAGCUGCUGUACUCUUUCCAUGUCUUUUAUCUCCUUUGUGUUCUUUAAUGUUUCCCACUUGUUUUCAUGACACUACUUUAUGUUUGUGGACUUUUUGAAAUUGUAUUGCUACCGCAUAAUUUCCCCCAUUGUGGGAUAAAUAAAGUCUAA